UACGUAGGUGGCAAGCGUUGUCCGGAUUUAUUGGGUUUAAAGGGUGCGUAGGCGGCCUUGUAAGUCAGUGGUGAAAUACUCCAGCUUAACUGGAGGGGUGCCAAUGAUACUGCAGGGCUUGAGUACAGAUGAGGUAGGCGGAAUUGACGGUGUAGCGGUGAAAUGCUUAGAUAUCGUCAAGAACACCGAUAGUGAAGACAGCUAACUAGACUUAUACUGACGCUGAGGCACGAAAGUGUGGGGAUCAAACAGG
rnacentral:rRNA from 1 species